GACGAACGCUGGCGGCGUGCUUAACACAUGCAAGUCGAGCGGAAAGGCCCUUCGGGGUACUCGAGCGGCGAACGGGUGAGUAACACGUGAGCAACCUGCCCUAGGCUUUGGGAUAACCCUCGGAAACGGGGGCUAAUACCGAAUAUUCACUUUCUCUCGCAUGGGGGUUGGUGGAAAGAUUUUUUGGCUUGGGAUGGGCUCGCGGCCUAUCAGCUUGUUGGUGGGGUGAUGGCCUACCAAGGCGACGACGGGUAGCCGGCCUGAGAGGCGACCGGCCACACUGGGACUGAGACACGGCCCAGACUCCUACGGGAGGCAGCAGGUGGGGAAUAUUGCACAAUGGGCGGAAGCCUGAUGCAGCGACGCCGCGUGAGGAUGACGG
rnacentral:rRNA from 1 species